AUGGCCACAUCACAUUGAAAUACUGAUUCCUGUGUGAUCACAAAAGUUAAGCAAUGUUGAGCCUGGUCAGUAUCUAGAUGGGUGACCGCUUGGGAAUACCAGGUGCUGUAG